UACGUAGGGGGCAAGCGUUGUCCGGAUUUAUUGGGCGUAAAGAGCGUGUAGGCGGUUCGGUAGGUCCGUUGUGAAAACUCGAGGCUCAACCUCGAGACGCCGAUGGAAACCCUCGAACUAGAGUCCGGAAGAGGAGAAUGGAAUUCCUGGUGUAGCGGUGAAAUGCGCAGAUAUCAGGAAGAACACCCGUGGCCAAGGCGGUUCUCUAGUACGGUACUGACGCUGAGACGCGAAAGCGUGGGGAGCGAACAGG
rnacentral:rRNA from 1 species